UACGUAGGUGGCAAGCGUUGUCCGGAUUUAUUGGGUUUAAAGGGUGCGUAGGCGGUCUAUUAAGUCAGCGGUGAAAUACUCCAGCUUAACUGGAGGGGUGCCAUUGAUACUGAUGGACUUGAGUCAAGUCGAGGUAGGCGGAAUUGACGGUGUAGCGGUGAAAUGCUUAGAUAUCGUCAAGAACACCAAUAGUGAAGACAGCUUACUGGGCUUAAACUGACGCUGAGGCGCGAAAGCGUGGGGAGCGAACAGG
rnacentral:rRNA from 1 species